GGCCCGAUCGCCAAGUCUGGGAAGGCGCUAGACUGAAGAUCUAGUAUUUCGCCGGUUCAAAUCCGGCUCGGGCCACCA
rnacentral:tRNA from 1 species